CGUUUGUCCGACGCCGUUUGUCCGAAUGGUCAUUUGUCCAAAAGUUUUUAGACAAACGACCAUUCGGACAAACGGUCUUUAGACAAACGACG
rnacentral:pre_miRNA from 1 species